rnacentral:rRNA from 1 species
AACCUGGGAACUGCAUUCGAAACUGGCAGGCUAGAGUCUUGUAGAGGGGGGUAGAAUUCCAGGUGUAGCGGUGAAAUGCGUAGAGAUCUGGAGGAAUACCGGUGGCGAAGGCGGCCCCCUGGACAAAGACUGACGCUCAGGUGCGAAAGCGUGGGGAGCAAACAGGAUUAGAUACCCUGGUAGUCCACGCCGUAAACGAUGUCGAUUUGGAGGUUGUGCCCUUGAGGCGUGGCUUCCGGAGCUAACGCGUUAAAUCGACCGCCUGGGGAGUACGGCCGCAAGGUUAAAACUCAAAUGAAUUGACGGGGGCCCGCACAAGCGGUGGAGCAUGUGGUUUAAUUCGAUGCAACGCGAAGAACCUUACCUGGUCUUGACAUCCACAGAACUUUCCAGAGAUGGAUUGGUGCCUUCGGGAACUGUGAGACAGGUGCUGCAUGGCUGUCGUCAGCUCGUGUUGUGAAAUGUUGGGUUAAGUCCCGCAACGAGCGCAACCCUUAUCCUUUGUUGCCAGCGGUUCGGCCGGGAACUCAAAGGAGACUGCCAGUGAUAAACUGGAGGAAGGUGGGGAUGACGUCAAGUCAUCAUGGCCCUUACGACCAGGGCUACACACGUGCUACAAUGGCAUAUACAAAGAGAAGCGACCUCGCGAGAGCAAGCGGACCUCAUAAAGUAUGUCGUAGUCCGGAUUGGAGUCUGCAACUCGACUCCAUGAAGUCGGAAUCGCUAGUAAUCGUAGAUCAGAAUGCUACGGUGAAUACGUUCCCGGGCCUUGUACACACCGCCCGUCACACCAUGGGAGUGGGUUGCAAAAGAAGUAGGUAGCUUAACCUUCGGGAGGGCGCUUACCACUUUGUGAUUCAUGACUGGGGUGAAGUCGUAACAAGGUAACCGUAGGGGAACCUGCGGUUGGAUCACCUCCUUACCUUAAAGAA